AGAGUUUGAUCCUGGCUCAGAUUGAACGCUGGCGGUAUGCCUUACACAUGCAAGUCGAACGGCAGCACGGGAGCAAUCCUGGUGGCGAGUGGCGAACGGGUGAGUAAUAUAUCGGAACGUGCCCAGUCGUGGGGGAUAACGCAGCGAAAGCUGUGCUAAUACCGCAUACGAUCUCUGGAUGAAAGCGGGGGACUCGCAAGAGCCUCGCGCGAUUGGAGCGGCCGAUAUCAGAUUAGCUAGUUGGUGGGGUAAAAGCCCACCAAGGCGACGAUCUGUAGCUGGUCUGAGAGGACGACCAGCCACACUGGAACUGAGACACGGUCCAGACUCCUACGGGAGGCAGCAGUGGGGAAUUUUGGACAAUGGGCGCAAGCCUGAUCCAGCAAUGCCGCGUGCAGGAUGAAGGCCUUCGGGUUGUAAACUGCUUUUGUACGGAACGAAACGGUCUGCCCUAAUACGGUGGGCUAAUGACGGUACCGUAAGAAUAAGCACCGGCUAACUACGUGCCAGCAGCCGCGGUAAUACGUAGGGUGCGAGCGUUAAUCGGAAUUACUGGGCGUAAAGCGUGCGCAGGCGGUUAUGUAAGCCAGAUGUGAAAUCCCCGGGCUUAGCCUGGGAAUGGCAUUUGGGACUGCAAGGCUGGAGUGUGGCAGAGGAGACUGGAAUUCCCGGUGUAGCAGUGAAAUGCGUAGAUAUCG
rnacentral:rRNA from 1 species